CCAGUUGCUACCAGGUAAUGCUGGGCGACUCUGGUGAGACUGCCCGUUAACGGGAGGAAGUGGGGACGACGGUCAAGUCAUCAUGGCCCUUACGCCUAGGGCUACACACGUACUACAAUGGCGCAUACAAAGGGCAGCGAUACCGCGAGGUGGAGCCAAUCCCAAAAAGUGCGUCCCAGUCCGGAUUGCAGUCUGCAACUCGACUGCAUGAAGUUGGAAUCGCUAGUAAUUCGAGAUCAGCAUGCUCGGGUGAAUGCGUUCCCGGGCCUU
rnacentral:rRNA from 1 species